rnacentral:rRNA from 1 species
GGCGUAAAGCGCGCGCAGGUGGUUUCUUAAGUCUGAUGUGAAAGCCCACGGCUCAACCGUGGAGGGUCAUUGGAAACUGGGAGACUUGAGUGCAGAAGAGGAAAGUGGAAUUCCAUGUGUAGCGGUGAAAUGCGUAGAGAUAUGGAGGAACACCAGUGGCGAAGGCGACUUUCUGGUCUGUAACUGACACUGAGGCGCGAAAGCGUGGGGAGCAAACAGGAUUAGAUACCCUGGUAGUCCACGCCGUAAACGAUGAGUGCUAAGUGUUAGAGGGUUUCCGCCCUUUAGUGCUGAAGUUAACGCAUUAAGCACUCCGCCUGGGGAGUACGGCCGCCAGGCUGAAACUCAAAGGAAUUGACGGGGGCCCGCCCCAGCGGUGGAGCAUGUGGUUUAUUU